AUACGGAGGGUGCAAGCGUUGUUCGGAAUCACUGGGCGUAAAGGGCGCACAGGCGGUUUGGUAAGUCAGAUGUGAAAGCCCACGGCUCAACCGUGGAAGUGCAUUUGAAACUGUCAGACUUGAGUACUAGAGGGGAAAGUGGAAUUCCCGGUGUAGAGGUGAAAUUCGUAGAUAUCGGGAGGAAUACCGGUGGCGAAGGCGACUUUCUGGCUAGAUACUGACGCUGAGGCGCGAAAGCGUGGGGAGCAAACAGGAUUAGAAACCCCUGUAGUCC
rnacentral:rRNA from 1 species